UACAGAGGGUGCAAGCGUUAAUCGGAAUUACUGGGCGUAAAGCGUGCGUAGACGGUUACAUAAGUCAGAUGUGAAAGCCCCGGGCUCAACCUGGGAAUUGCAUUUGAGACUGUGUAGCUAGGGUGCGGAAGAGGGAAGCGGAAUUUCCGGUGUAGCGGUGAAAUGCGUAGAUAUCGGAAGGAACACCAGUGGCGAAGGCGGGUCUCUGGGCCGUAACUGACGCUGAGGAGCGAAAGCAUGGGGAGCGAACAGG
rnacentral:rRNA from 1 species